rnacentral:rRNA from 1 species
UACGUAGGGUGCAAGCGUUGUCCGGAAUUAUUGGGCGUAAAGAGCUCGUAGGCGGUCUGUCGCGUCGGAUGUGAAAACCCGGGGCUUAACCCCGGGCCUGCAUUCGAUACGGGCAGACUCGAGUGUGGUAGGGGAGACUGGAACUCCUGGUGUAGCGGUGAAAUGCGCAGAUAUCAGGAAGAACACCGGUGGCGAAGGCGGCCAUCUGGACCGGAACUGACGCUGAGGCGCGAAAGCCAGGGGAGCGAAUGGG